CGCAGGUCCGGCCGAGUAGCUCUGGUCGCACAUCCGCCCCAGGGGGGGGUUUAAGAAGAGCAGGAGUCUCCUUAUCAGUGGUGCUGUUUCAGUGUAACUCAAUAAAGGUCAAGGCGCCUCACUCUCGCAAAUAAUGGUGCGUUCCAGUUGUAGUCGAGUUGCAAAGAUGAACUGGAACGAUUAGACAAAAUCAGACUUCCUUCCGGGAGAGCGGGAGCAACUGCAACUACACCCCAGUUACGACUCGUAAGGCCGACUGUGUGUUUCAACAUGGCCGCUCUUCGCGUCAACAAUACUGUUGCACAUCUCACACGUUUCCAGUCCAGUGACCCCCGCCACAGUGUUUAUGCUUUUUCUCUCAGUCAUCGUCUCCAUAAUAUCUCCCUGAUUUCCCCUCCAUGUUGCCUCUAGUGUUGCUGAGUAAAUGCACAGCCUGGCAUUGGGCCUGUGGUGCACCUUCAGCUGCAGCGGAGGAAGUGGGUGGAUGUUUUUGCUUGGCUCCUGGGGGACACUCAAAGCCAGCAAGCCAUACUUCCAAAUGUACAUGACUGCUCUCACUCCUUUAAGAUCUCUGCUUCUCCUUUGAGUGCACGCAUGACCUUCCACCCCCACCACCGAAAUCAAUGGGCCCUUUCACUGAUUGCCCCUCAUAAUGACCCCCUGUUUGAGUCCAGAGUUAUCGAGGGGGCUGGAAGAAGAAACAAUUUCAUUCUGCAACUUGUCUGUCGAGCAGCACGUUGGAGGCAUAAAGUAACGAUAACAAGAUGGAACUUUAUAUUUUAUUAUCUUGUGAAGAGUGCUACAGUAUGUGUAGUUUCAAGGCUGUUCCAAGCAGUAUGUCACUUUGACAAAUUAAAUUUAGUUUUUAAACAUAUUGUUGAAACUGUCACUUUGCUGUGACAGUAUGGUGUGAGAUAGAUAAUCUGUUGGGGGAAAAAAUGUUCCUCUGCCUUCUCCCAGUGCAAUUAGAAACAACCAAUCAAAGCCGAUGGGAGGGAGAGGGUGUUAGCGCUGUAAAUCACCCCUAUGUACCUGAAACGGAAUAAAAUGGAAUUAAAUUUCUAUUUUAUUUUUUAAAACAAAAAUACAUUUUUUUAAAAGGGCUCUAGAUUGAACAUUUAAAUGUCGACUGCAUGUAUAAAGUGUAUUUGUAAGCAAAACAAGCAGAUUUGUCAUUUUUACAAUGCCGUCCAUUUGGUCUUUGGGGGAUAUUACUAAAAUUACCUUACAAAGACAGUAAAUACUUUUGCUCCGAAAAGGGAGACUAUCAUCUUUUCGUUAUUAUUCAUUUUGAAAAGUUAAAUGAAUUGUGUUUAA